rfam:Helianthus annuus linkage group 7, whole genome shotgun sequence.
GUUCUUGUCAUUGGGGCAUCAUCAAGAUUCACAAAUAAGUAACAUCAUUAUAGGCGAUAUCAUCGUUUAUUCGAAAACUUCUAUCGAUCUAAUAUUAUUUCUUGAUUGUUAAUUUUGAGAAUCUUGAUGAUGCUGCAGUGGCAAGUAA